GACGAACGCUGGCGGCGUGCUUAACACAUGCAAGUCGAGCGGUAAGGCCCUUUCGGGGGUACACGAGCGGCGAACGGGUGAGUAACACGUGGGUGACCUGCCUUUAGCUCUGGGAUAAGCCUGGGAAACUGGGUCUAAUACCGGAUAUGACCCUAUGGCGCAUGUUGUGGGGUGGAAAGCCUUGUGCGGCUAGGGGAUGGGCCCGCGGCCUAUCAGCUUGUUGGUGGGGUGAUGGCCUACCAAGGCGGCGACGGGUAGCCGGCCUGAGAGGGCGACCGGCCACACUGGGACUGAGACACGGCCCAGACUCCUACGGGAGGCAGCAGUGGGGAAUCUUGCGCAAUGGGCGAAAGCCUGACGCAGCGACGCCGCGUGAGGGAUGACGGCCU
rnacentral:rRNA from 1 species